GGCUCUCCAGCUGCAGUUCUGGUUACGCCAGACAGCUGCUCUGUCAAAAAUGCUGGGAGAAAUGCUUCAUUUCUUCACAGGGGAUGCCUUCAGCAGGAGUCUGCUUUGGCAGCUAGAUGCUGCCCAAGGGAGAGAUCGUGGAGCUGUUCAAGCAAGCAUCUUGCAUGACUCCUGAGCUUGCAGCCCAGCACGUGAGGCUGCAGCUGCACAAGACCCGAGCUCUGCCCCAGCUGCUGCAGCCGUCGCCCACUGACCCAGCACCAGCACCCGUCUGUCCUCAUCCUCGUCCUCAUCCUCGGCAGCGACAGGGGACGAGGGAGGAGCUCCACAAUUAAAGUUAGCGUUUCAGCGAGGGCCAUCCUCAAGCCACAACAGAACCGGCACAAUCUGAUGGGAGAAAUCGGAAUAAUAGAUAAAAUGCCCUCACCCGGCCACCUCCAGCCAUGGCAGGAGGACUCAUAACAGCUUGGAGGCUGACCCCAGACCUGGAAGAGGGGGAAGGCAUCCGUCCACCUACAUUAUAACGCCAGGAUUUCCAGACACGUUGAUAAGACACCAACGCAGAACCUGGAGCAGGCUCACUCCUCACGCCUACUCCUCCUGGCCACAGACACGAGCCUGGGGCGAGGGGCAGCCUGCGGACCCCACUGGACAUCGGAGGAGAUGUUAUAGGAUGCUGCCCUGCAACACCUGGUGCUCCUAACCUGCGUGACAAAGCACCAGGUGGAGAGCUUCAGAUCCUCAGUUCCACAAAAUAAAACUAAAAACGACAGUCUGAUUGAAACUGUAGUUGCCUCUACACUACAGGAGCUUUCUAUUUUUCCCUACCCAGUGGCUGGGGCAGCUUCAGGAAACAGGUCUGCCUGUCUGUCACAAUAAUUGUUUCUGCCUCAGUUAUCUAGUCCAGUCAAAACAAGCCAAGUUCAUAGCCAGAGCUGCAAGAGAUUUCGAACAAGAUUUCUGUGAGCCCCUCUGCGAGCCGAGCAUCUCCCUGACACCCAGCACGCCUCACCCCACUGCUCCCCAGCUGGGACCACCUCAACAUCACCCACCCCAAUAUGCAACGGGACCGCUCGGAAGAAAAAAUCCACUCAAGGUCUCCCUGUCCUUUCCUAUCACACAGCUGACUGCUCCCUCCCUUCACCAUCGCGCGGUCCCCUGGAGACAAGCCUGCACCUUCCGGGCCGCAGGAAGCAGCGUGGCCCCACUGGGGCUGGGGCCCCGGCUGGCUGCUGCCCUUGAGCCGCUUCUCUGCGGAUCCGUGUGAGAUUUAUAAUCCAGCUGGCUGCCUGGCUGCUCUGCCAGAGCCGGGGGGCCGGAGCGGGACAGCAGUGCUCGGGUCUGCACGCCUGGAAGUGAACGGAGGGUCUUGCAAAGCAGGACCGCUGUCACAGAAAACAAGCAAAACCACCACCCCCCAAAAAAAGAUCCCACACCAAAAAUAGUUCAAGAGAAAGAGAAAAGUGAAAAACCAACCCUGAAGGCUUUCUAGCUGGUCUGUCCCCAGACUAUGCAGGAGGCUCAGCAAAAGAGGAAUUUGUCCCCCACCCCCUCUGGCACAACGUUGCAGCACGCGCAAACAAACAAAGAAAAAUCCAUAAAAAACGCCAAAAAAAUAUCCAAAGCUCAUCCUCUGCAGUGUACAGGGUGCUUCUUUAAUAUUUUCAAUCUGCAGAGGGAUUUAGCUUUGGGCUUUCUUGCCGGCGAAGGCAGAGGGAGCACGGCAGGAGCGGAUCAGAAGGGAGAAGUUCCCCCAGAGGGUUUCAGAAGUUACCGCACAUGUAUUUCACCAGAGGCUAUUUUUAACCCGGUGGUUGCUAUUUUUACCAAUGUCAGUGUUUUCCAUGUGUUGAACUCUGUCCCCAUGCAGGCUGCGGGGCGCUGUGCCCCGGCCCCCCCCAGGCGGCCCCCAGGCUCCCUGCUCUCCCCCCCCCGCUCCUCCUCCCUCCAGCGCUGGCUCUGGGUUGUCUGCAGCUCUUUGGGAGCUCUUUCAAGAGUAUCAGCAGAGCCUGGACUCCGCUCCCCGCUGCCCCUCCUCUGUAUGGAUAUAUCUGGGGGGGGGGGGGGGGGGGGCUGUGCGUGGUGCAAAGUCCAACCGCCAGCACCCUGCAAAGCUCCUGCUUCAACUUCAUUCCUCUCCAAACACAUUCCUGCCAACCGGGAGGGGAGAAGGAAAAAAAAAAAAAGAAAAAAAGAAAAAGUAAACAAACGCCACUGUUGCUAAGUUUUGCACUUUAUACCCUUUUAUAUUUACAAUCCUCUCUUGGCUAAAAAUAGCAACACAUGAUCCAUUUAUAACUGGCCGGACAUGCCCCGAAGCCGCUGGCGGGGCCCUGGCUGAUGAAAGGAGCUCUUUGCGUUCCUUCUACCUGAGCUCAUCUCGCGCUUAAAGGGCUCAGACAACCCCGCUGCCACAAAGCAUGCAUUGAAACCCCUGCUGCUUCCAGCAGAGAUCAGGAUAAGGGGUGCAAAAAAAAAAAAAAGCAUAAAAAAAAAA